CAAGAUAUAGCUCAGUGGUAGAGAGCAUGCCUAGCAUGCAAGAGGUCCUGGGUUCAAUCCCCACUACCUCCA
rnacentral:tRNA from 1 species